rnacentral:lncRNA from 1 species
CUUGAGCUGCUCGGUUUUUUCCAUUUCUUUUUGAUUUAGAAACUAUUUUCCUAUGCUGAUGUGUUGGUUUCUUUCCAAAUCUUUGUUAACUUUUAAAGUACUGUUUUGCUUGGUUUUAUUCUUUGAGGAUGCUUUUUUUUUGUGUUUUUUCCUUCCAGAUGAGCAUGAUGGGCCAUUUAAGGCGGCUGGUUUCCGUUUCUCUUGUCAGUGUGCUUUCGUCCUUUUCUUUUCUUCUAGCAUUUCCACCUAAAAAAAAUCAUUUUUGUUUUACUUUUAGAGACAAAAUAUUUUAUUUCAUUUAUUUUUUUACGGAAGCCUUUUAGCGUCGUGCUUAUUUACUUUUUACAAUUUGAUAUAACAAAUUAUCUGUUUAAUUG